rnacentral:misc_RNA from 1 species
CCGAGUUUACAACUCCCAAACCCCUGUGAACAUACCACUUGUUGCCUCGGCGGAUCAGCCCGCUCCCGGUAAAACGGGACGGCCCGCCAGAGGACCCCUAAACUCUGUUUCUAUAUGUAACUUCUGAGUAAAACCAUAAAUAAACCA